GACGAACGCUGGCGGCGUGCUUAACACAUGCAAGUCGAACGGAAAGGCCCUGCUUUUGUGGGGUGCUCGAGUGGCGAACGGGUGAGUAACACGUGAGUCACCUGCCCUUGACUUUGGGAUAACUUCAGGAAACUGGGGCUAAUACCGGAUAGGAGCUCCUGCUGCAUGGUGGGGGUUGGAACGUUUCGGCGGUUGGGGAUGGACUCGCGGCUUAUCAGCUUGUUGGUGGGGUAGUGGCUUACCAAGGCUUUGGCGGGUAGCCGGCCUGGGAGGGUGACCGGCCACAUUGGGACUGAGAUACGGCCCAGACUCCUACGGGAGACAGCAGUGGGGAAUAUUGCACACUGGGCGGAAGCCUGAUGCAGCAACGCCGCGUGCGGAAUGACGGCCUUCGGGUUGUAAACCGCUUCCGCCUGUGACGAAGCGUGAGUGACGGUAAUGGGUAAAGAAGCACCGGCUAACUACGUG
rnacentral:rRNA from 1 species